rnacentral:miRNA from 1 species
CCAGUGGAGGUGCUGUUACCUG